UCGAACGAGCUUCCGUUGAAUGACGUGCUUGCACUGAUUUCAACAAUGAAGCGAGUGGCGAACUGGUGAGUAACACGUGGGGAAUCUGCCCAGAAGCAGGGGAUAACACUUGGAAACAGGUGCUAAUACCGUAUAACAACAAAAUCCGCAUGGAUUUUGUUUGAAAGGUGGCUUCGGCUAUCACUUCUGGAUGAUCCCGCGGCGUAUUAGUUAGUUGGUGAGGUAAAGGCCCACCAAGACGAUGAUACGUAGCCGACCUGAGAGGGUAAUCGGCCACAUUGGGACUGAGACACGGCCCAAACUCCUACGGGAGGCAGCAGUAGGGAAUCUUCCACAAUGGACGAAAGUCUGAUGGAGCAAUGCCGCGUGAGUGAAGAAGGGUUUCGGCUCGUAAAACUCUGUUGUUAAAGAAGAACACCUUUGAGAGUAACUGUUCAAGGGUUGACGGUAUUUAACCAGAAAGCCACGGCUAACUACGUGCCAGCAGCCGCGGUAAUACGUAGGUGGCAAGCGUUGUCCGGAUUUAUUGGGCGUAAAGCGAGCGCAGGCGGUUUUUUAAGUCUGAUGUGAAAGCCUUCGGCUUAACCGGAGAAGUGCAUCGGAAACUGGGAGACUUGAGUGCAGAAGAGGACAGUGGAACUCCAUGUGUAGCGGUGGAAUGCGUAGAUAUAUGGAAGAACACCAGUGGCGAAGGCGGCUGUCUAGUCUGUAACUGACGCUGAGGCUCGAAAGCAUGGGUAGCGAACAGGAUUAGAUACCCUGGUAGUCCAUGCCGUAAACGAUGAGUGCUAAGUGUUGGAGGGUUUCCGCCCUUCAGUGCUGCAGCUAACGCAUUAAGCACUCCGCCUGGGGAGUACGACCGCAAGGUUGAAACUCAAAGGAAUUGACGGGGGCCCGCACAAGCGGUGGAGCAUGUGGUUUAAUUCGAAGCUACGCGAAGAACCUUACCAGGUCUUGACAUCUUCUGCCAAUCUUAGAGAUAAGACGUUCCCUUCGGGGACAGAAUGACAGGUGGUGCAUGGUUGUCGUCAGCUCGUGUCGUGAGAUGUUGGGUUAAGUCCCGCAACGAGCGCAACCCUUAUUAUCAGUUGCCAGCAUUCAGUUGGG
rnacentral:rRNA from 1 species